AUGGGGUGCAGCAGGCGCGAAAACUUUACAAUGCGGGAAACCGCGAUAAGGGGAUACCGAGUGCCAGCAUAUUAUGUUGGCUGUCCACAUGUGUAAACGGCAUGUGUUAGCAAGGGCCGGGCAAGACCGGUGCCAGCCGCCGCGGUAACACCGGCGGCCCGAGUGGUAAUCACUUUUAUUGGGUCCAAAGGGUCCGUAGCCGGUUUGAUCAGUUCUUCGGGAAAUCUGACAGCUCAACUGUUAGGCUUCCGGGGAAUACUGUCAGACUUGGGACCGGGAGAGGUAAGAGGUACUACAGGGGUAGGAGUGAAAUCUUGUAAUCCCUGUGGGACCACCAGUGGCGAAGGCGUCUUACCAGUACGGGUCCGACGGUGAGGGACGAAAGCUGGGGGCACGAACCGGAUUAGAUACCCGGGUAGUCCCAGCCGUAAACGAUGUUCGCUAGGUGUCAGGGACGGUGCGACCGUUUCUGGUGCCAUAGGGAAGCCGUGAAGCGAACCACCUGGGAAGUACGGCCGCAAGGCUGAAACUUAAAGGAAUUGGCGGGGGAGCAC
rnacentral:rRNA from 1 species